GGCACAGGCUGCCCAGGGAGGUGGUGGAGUCACCGUCCCUGGAGGUGUUCCAGAGCCGUGUGGAUGUGGCACUGAGGGCCAUGGGCAGUGGGCAUGGUGUGAUGGGCUGCCGGUUGGACUGGGUGAGCUUAGAGGUCUUUUCCAACUUCAGCGAUUCUGUGAUUCUACGAUGAUUCUGCAGUUAUUCUCCUCGUGCUCUCUACUGGCAAAAUAGGAAACAUGAAGGUCCAUUUCAUGUAUUUGUUUGUUUUCACGGAGGUUGAGGUCCUCUCUGGAGCUCAGGAAGCUGGGAAACGUUGCUCUGCAUUUCUGCUUCCCUUCCCCUGGGGCUGAGCCAGACCCAGUGAUGACUUAAAUGGUAACAGUGCAGCGUUAGAGGGGUUAAAGUGAUGCUGGGGCGUGAGGUGAGAGGGAUAAAUCCCAAGUGGCUUUUUUCUGUGAACGUAAACGUCCCGGGAGAGCCACAACCAUGUAGUUAUCUGUCCCAUCUGCCAUACACGUGUUACUGGUUACUCGCACACACAGAACAUAUAUCUGCAAUAUGUAUAUAUAUUUGCAAAACACUUAACAAAUCAUCCAGAGACCGGAGGAUUUACCCCGCUUGCCAGGACUGCUCACACUGCCACUUCCAUUACAGCUAUUCCUCUCCAGCGCUCCUAACCUCCUUCGGCACGGCACCUUCAUGCCGGCACGCUGCGUGCUCAGGACAAGGCUGGAAAGGAAAAGGGAAGAGCUCGUUUCCCCACCUCUAGGAUCAGUCAGAAUGAAAUACAGCUUUUUUUUUUGUGCGUGUUAAUAAUAACCAACCCCCGAUGAGGAGACGAUUUACCUGGGAGGCACUGCAGCUCUCAGUGAAACAAAGCAGCGAACUCCCGCAGCUCCCCCCAGCUCCUCCCUGCCCCAGGGGAAGAGAAAGGGGAGAAAAAAGCAGAGGGGGCCGCUUCCUCCUUCCGAGUGAGGUGUUCCUAAAGGGCUACUGAAACCGCGGGGUGCUGCUCUCUGCCCCCGCCUUACGCCGGGUGCUCAGACAGACGGACAGACGGCUGUCUGCGCCGGGGAUCGUCGGCUUGAAAGGUGCGAAUGGGAAAGUGCCGCAUAUGUGCCCGGGGCCGAGAUAACAUUGUCCUGCGAACCUUCCCUCUGCAUUUCCUGGCGUGAGGUUUGCAAGUGCAUUGUGUGGGGCUAAUGGCUCUGUUAAGGUGGUGUUCUGCGGGAGGGAAGGGGAGGGGAAAGCAAGGCAAGGCAAGACAAGGCAAGGGAAGGGCAAGUUCAUUGCUUAUCAAUUACCGAAUAAACCCCAGAGGGCUGUAAUGAAUGAUGAGAGGAACCAGGCUCGAUAACGAAAGAUUAUGAAAGCCUUCUUUGGCACGCGGAGCCAAGGAGUUGAGUGCUUCUGAAACCAAUCUUGGAUGAAAUGGCCCCAAACACAGAAUGUUCCUUUCAGCCCUGGUGCAGUUCAGACCUGCCCCUACCGUCUGGG
ensembl:lncRNA